rnacentral:rRNA from 1 species
CCUACGGGAGGCAGCAGUCGGGAAUAUUGCGCAAUGGAGGAAACUCUGACGCAGUGACGCCGCGUGCAGGAAGAAGGUUUUCGGAUUGUAAACUGCUUUAGACAGGGAAGAAAAAAGACAGUACCUGUAGAAUAAGCUCCGGCUAACUACGUGCCAGCAGCCGCGGUAAUACGUAGGGGGCAAGCGUUAUCCGGAUUUACUGGGUGUAAAGGGAGCGUAGACGGCAGCGCAAGUCUGAAGUGAAAUCCCAUGGCUUAACCAUGGAACUGCUUUGGAAACUGUGCAGCUGGAGUGCAGGAGAGGUAAGCGGAAUUCCUAGUGUAGCGGUGAAAUGCGUAGAUAUUAGGAGGAACACCAGUGGCGAAGGCGGCUUACUGGACUGUAACUGACGUUGAGGCUCGAAAGCGUGGGGAGCAAACAGGAUUAGAUACCCCAGUAGUC